rnacentral:rRNA from 1 species
AGCGAACGCUGGCGGCAGGCUUAACACAUGCAAGUCGAACGGGCAUAGCAAUAUGUCAGUGGCAGACGGGUGAGUAACGCGUGGGAACGUACCUUUUGGUUCGGAACAACACAGGGAAACUUGUGCUAAUACCGGAUAAGCCCUUACGGGGAAGGAUUUAUCGCCGAAAGAUCGGCCCGCGUCUGAUUAGCUAGUUGGUAGGGUAAUGGCCUACCAAGGCGACGAUCAGUAGCUGGUCUGAGAGGAUGAUCAGCCACAUUGGGACUGAGACACGGCCCAAACUCCUACGGGAGGCAGCAGUGGGGAAUAUUGGGCAAUGGGCGAAAGCCUGAUCCAGCCAUGCCGCGUGAGUGAUGAAGGCCCUAGGGUUGUAAAGCUCUUUUGUGCGGGAAGAUAAUGACGGUACCGCAAGAAUAAGCCCCGGCUAACUUCGUG